rnacentral:rRNA from 1 species
UACGUAGGGGUGCGAGCGUUUGUCCGGAAUUAUUAGGGGCGUAAAGGCUCGUAGGCGGUUUGUCGCGUCGGGGAGUGAAAACCCCAGGGGCUUAACCCUGGGCUGGCUUUCCGAAUACCGGGCAGACUAGAGGUAUGCAGGGGGAGAACGGAAAUUCCUGGUGUAGCGGUGAAAUGCGCAGAUAUAGGAGGAACACCGAUGGCGAAGGCAGGUCUCUGGGCAUUAACUGCGUGAG